AUUGAACGCUGGCGGCAGGCCUAACACAUGCAAGUCGAGCGGAUGAAGGGAGCUUGCUCCUGGAUUCAGCGGCGGACGGGUGAGUAAUGCCUAGGAAUCUGCCUGGUAGUGGGGGAUAACGUCCGGAAACGGGCGCUAAUACCGCAUACGUCCUGAGGGAGAAAGUGGGGGAUCUUCGGACCUCACGCUAUCAGAUGAGCCCAGGUCGGAUUAGCUAGUUGGUGGGGUAAAGGCCUACCAAGGCGACGAUCCGUAACUGGUCUGAGAGGAUGAUCAGUCACACUGGACCUGAGACACGGUCCAGACUCCUACGGGAGGCAGCAGUGGGGAAUAUUGGACAAUGGGCGAAAGCCUGAUCCAGCCAUGCCGCGUGUGUGAAGAAGGUCUUCGGAUUGUAAAGCACUUUAAGUUGGGAGGAAGGGCAGUAAGUUAAUACCUUGCUGUUUUGACGUUACCAACAGAAUAAGCACCGGCUAACUUCGUG
rnacentral:rRNA from 1 species